GUGCCAGCCGCCGCGGUAAUACGUAGGUGGCGAGCGUUGUCCGGAAUUAUUGGGCGUAAAGGGUGCGUAGGCGGUCCGUUAAGUCUAGUUUGAAAGACCACGGCUUAACCGUGGGAGGGGAUUAGAAACUGGCGGACUUGAGGGUAAGAGAGGAAGGUGGAAUUCCACGUGUAGCGGUGAAAUGCGUAGAGAUGUGGAGGAACACCAGUGGCGAAGGCGGCCUUCUGGCUUACCCCUGACGCUGAGGCACGAAAGCGUGGGGAGCAAACAGGAUUAGAUACCCUGGUAGUCCACGCCGUAAACGAUGAGUACUAAGUGUCGGUCGCAAGAUCGGUGCUGAAGUUAACGCAAUAAGUACUCCGCCUGGGAAGUACGGUCGCAAGACUGAAACUCAAAGGAAUUGGCGG
rnacentral:rRNA from 1 species